AUUGAACGCUAACGGCGUGCUUAACACAUGCAAGUCGAGCGGCAGCACAGUAGUAGCAAUACUAUGGGUGGCGAGCGGCGGACGGGUGAGUAAUACAUAGGAAUCUGCCUUAUAGUGGGGGAUAACCCGGGGAAACUCGGGCUAAUACCGCAUAAUCUCUACGGAGAAAAGUAUGGGACCUUCGUGCCAUAUGCUAAAAGAUGAGCCUAUGUUGGAUUAGCUAGUUGGUAGGGUAAAGGCCUACCAAGGCAACGAUCCAUAGCUGGUCUGAGAGGGUGAUCAGCCACACUGGGACUGAGACACGGCCCAGACUCCUACGGGAGGCAGCAGUGGGGAAUAUUGGACAAUGGGCGCAAGCCUGAUCCAGCAACGCCGUGUGUGUGAAGAAGGCCUUAGGGUUGUAAAGCACUUUUAGUGGGGAAGAAAAGUUCAUGGCUAAUAUCCAUGAAUGCUGACGUUACCCACGGAAAAAGCACUGGCUAACUCUGUGCCAGCAGCCGCAGUAA
rnacentral:rRNA from 1 species